UGGCGGCGUGCCUAAUACAUGCAAGUCGAACGGCUUUUCUAUGGAAGCUUGCUUCCACUGAGAAGAUAGUGGCGAACGGGUGAGUAACAACGUGGGGUAAACCCUGCCCAUAAGAGGGGGGAUAACAUCCGGAAACGGGUGCUAAUACCGCAUAGUUUUCUUGAUCGCAUGAUCGGGAAAGGAAAGACGGCCUUUGUGCUGUCGCUUAUGGAUGGACCCGCGGCGUAUUAGUUAGUUGGUGAGGUAACGGCUCACCAAGACGAUGAUACGUAGCCGACCUGAGAGGGUGAUCGGCCACAUUGGGACUGAGACACGGCCCAAACUCCUACGGGAGGCAGCAGUAGGGAAUCUUCCGCAAUGGACGAAAGUCUGACGGAGCAACGCCGCGUGAGUGAAGAAAAGGUUUUCGGAUCGUAAAACUCUGUUGUCAGAGAAGAACAAGUUGGAGAGUAACUGCUCCAGCCUUGACGGUAUCUGACCAGAAAGCCACGGCUAACUACGUGCCAGCCGCGGC
rnacentral:rRNA from 1 species